AACAGGAUUAGAUACCCUGGUAGUCCACGCCGUAAACGAUGUCGACUUGGAGGUUGUGCCCUUGAGGCGUGGCUUCCGGAGCUAACGCGUUAAGUCGACCGCCUGGGGAGUACGGCCGCAAGGUUAAAACUCAAAUGAAUUGACGGGGGCCCGCACAAGCGGUGGAGCAUGUGGUUUAAUUCGAUGCAACGCGAAGAACCUUACCUGGUCUUGACAUCCACAGAACUUUCCAGAGAUGGAUUGGUGCCUUCGGGAACUGUGAGACAGGUGCUGCAUGGCUGUCGUCAGCUCGUGUUGUGAAAUGUUGGGUUAAGUCCCGCAACGAGCGCAACCCUUAUCCUUUGUUGCCAGCGGUCCGGCCGGGAACUCAAAGGAGACUGCCAGUGAUAAACUGGAGGAAGGUGGGGAUGACGUCAAGUCAUCAUGGCCCUUACGACCAGGGCUACACACGUGCUACAAUGGCGCAUACAAAGAGAAGCGAACUCGCGAGAGCAAGCGGACCUCAUAAAGUGCGUCGUAGUCCGGAUUGGAGUCUGCAACUCGACUCCAUGAAGUCGGAAUCGCUAGUAAUCGUGGAUCAGAAUGCCACGGUGAAUACGUUCCCGGGCCUUGUACACACCGCCCGUCACACCAUGGGAGUGGGUUGCAAAAGAAGUAGGUAGCUUAACCUUCGGGAGGGCGCUUACCACUUUGUGAUUCAUGACUGGGGUGAAGUCGUAACAAGGUAACC
rnacentral:rRNA from 1 species